rnacentral:rRNA from 1 species
UACGAAGGGGGCUAGCGUUGUUCGGAUUUACUGGGCGUAAAGCGCACGUAGGCGGAUCGUUAAGUCGGGGGUGAAAUCCUGGAGCUCAACUCCAGAACUGCCUUCGAUACUGGCGAUCUUGAGUCCGGAAGAGGUGAGUGGAACUCCUAGUGUAGAGGUGGAAUUCGUAGAUAUUAGGAAGAACACCAGUGGCGAAGGCGGCUCACUGGUCCGGUACUGACGCUGAGGCGCGAAAGCGUGGGUAGCAAACGGG